AUGAAAUGUACUGUGUAUUUUACUUUUAACAAACAGCUUAAAAUACUUCUAUUUUCUUCCCUUCUAAAGCCAAUGAAGGAGGUUGUGCGAUCUUGCACCCCCAUGAAAGAGUCUACAACUAUGGAGAUCUGGAUUCAUCCCCAACCACAGCGGAAAUCCGAAGGGAAAGUGGCAGGAAAGUCCCAGCGGCGUGUCACAUUUCACCUGCCAGAAGGCUCUCAGGAAAGCAGCAGUGAUGGUGGACUGGGAGACCAUGAUGCAGGCAGCCUUACCAGCACAUCCCAUGGCCUGCCCCUUGGCUAUCCUCAGGAGGAGUACUUUGAUCGUGCUACACCCAGCAAUCGCACUGAAGGGGAUGGCAACUCCGAUCCUGAAUCUAGUAAGUGAUACCUCUCUGGUUCCUCAAUAUAAACGGGCUUACUGUGUUUGCAACUCAAGCUAUCAUAGCCAUAAUAACAUGGGCUAAUUCAUUAUGUUAUUGUGAAUAGUGACACAUUUUUGAAAGGUAAACAUACAGAAUUAGAUGGAUGACAUGUAUAAGGCAGUUUAUAAUAUUUUAAAUGUAUGAUCAUAACUACUCUGAAUGAAAUUUAUUAUAGUGACUUUGUUAAGGCAUAGAUAGAAUUUUCCAUUUAUGUACACCUGUAUAUUUAUUUGUAU
rnacentral:lncRNA from 1 species